rnacentral:rRNA from 1 species
UCAAGCUACAAAGGGCGCACGGUGGAUGCUCAGGCAGUGAGAGGCGAUGAAGGACGUGGACAGCUGCGAAAAGCUUCGGUGAGCCGCUAACAGGCUAUGACCCGGAGAUCUCCGAAUGGGACAACCCGCGCAGGGACUACCUGCCAUCUUGCAGUGAAUUCAUAGCUGCAAGAAGCCAACCCAGGGAACUGAAACAUCUAAGUACCUGGAGGAAAAGAAAACAAAUAGUGAUUCUCCUAGUAGUGGCGAGCGAACGGGGAACAGCCUAAACCGUAGCAAUACGGGGUCGUGGGGCCAGAGACAUCGACGAGAGACUGUAGAAGAACGGCAUGGAAGGGCCGGCCAUAGAGGGUGACAGCCCCUUAUUCGAAACGGACUCAGAUCGUAUCUGGUACCCGAGUACCGCAGGACACGUGCAAUCCGGCGGGAAUCUGGGAGGACCAUCUUUCCAAGGCUAAAUACUACUUACUGACCGAUAGUGAACAAGUACCGCGAGGGAAAAGUGAAAAGAACCCCGGUUAGGGGAGUGAAAUAGAACCUGAAACCGUGUGCCUACAAGCAGUGGAAGCACUAUGGCCGCAAGGCAAUGUGUGACCGCGUACCUUUUGCAUAAUGAGCCCGUGAGUUACGAUGCGUGGCAAGGUUAAGCCGUGAGGUGUAGCCGUAGCGAAAGCAAGUCUUAACAGGGCGUACAGUCGCGCAACGUAGACCCGAAACCCCUGCGAUCUACCCAUGUCCAGGUUGAAGAGCGGGUAACACCGCUUGGAGGACCGAACGCACCUUAGUUGAAAAUAAGGGCGAUGAGGUGUGGGUAGGAGUGAAAGGCUAAUCAAGCGGGGAGAUAGCUGGUUCUCGUCGAAAUAUAUUGAGGUAUAGCCUCGGGUGAAUUGCGUCGGAGGUAGAGCACUGGAUGGGCUAGGGGUCCUACCAGAUUACCAAACCCAACCAAACUCCGAAUGCCGACGACAACUGCCCGGGAGUCAGGCAGCGGGAGAUAAGUUCCGUUGCCGAGAGGGAAAGAGCCCAGAUCGUCAGCUAAGGUCCCUAAAUCAGAGCUAAGUGUAGAAGGAUGUGGAAGCGCUUAGACAACCAGGAGGUUUGCUUAGAAGCAGCAAUCCUUUAAAGAAAGCGUAAUAGCUCACUGGUCAAGCGAGUCUGCGCCGAAAAUGUAACGGGGCUAAGUUCUGUACCGAAGCUACGGGUGCUCGUAAGAGCGCGGUAGACGAGCGUCGUGAAGGAGAUACACGGUGGACGGUGACGACCACUAACGGCCUUCACGAGUGAUUAUGCGGGCAUGAGUAGCGAUAAACCGGGUGAGAAACCCGGUCGCCGUAAGCCCAAGGUUUCCUGGGGAAGGAUAAUCCUCCCACGGGUUAGUCGAUACCUAAGCUGAGGCCGAGAGGCGUAAGCGAUGGAAAGCAGGUUAAUAUUCCUGCACCACCAAGGGUGACGUUGAUGUAAGCGGGGACGGAGAAGGGUAGCCCAUCACACUGCAUGGUUGUGUGUUCAAGCCCGUAGGCUGAGUUGUUAGGACCCGAUAGGGACAAACGACGACUCUUAAGGCCGAGAGGUGAUGAGGUCUGGUCCUAGACCAGGACACUGGGUAAUCCCACGCUUCCUAGAAAAGCCGCGUACGGAGUUUCUUUGGUGAUCGUACUGUAAACCGACUCAGGUGGGCGGGGUGAGAAUCCCAAGGCGCGUGAGAGAACCCUGGUUAAGGAACUCGGCAAAUUGACACCGUAACUUCGGGAGAAGGUGUGCCGCUGGCGGUUAGUAGAUUCACUCUACGAAGCUGUUGGCGGUCGCAGUGAAAUGGCGGUUGUGACUGUUUACUAAAAACACAGGACUCUGCGAACUCGUAAGAGGACGUAUAGGGUCUGAUGCCUGCCCGGUGCUGGAAGGUUAAGGGAAUUUGUCAGGGGCAACCCGAAGCAAUGAACCGAAGCCCCAGUAAACGGCGGCCGUAACUAUAACGGUCCUAAGGUAGCGAAAUUCCUUGUCGGGUAAGUUCCGACCUGCACGAAUGGCAUAACAA